rnacentral:rRNA from 1 species
UACGGGGGGAGCAAGCGUUGUUCGGAUUUACUGGGCGUAAAGGGCGCGUAGGCGGUCAGCACAAGUCAGUUGUGAAAUCUCCGGGCUUAACUCGGAAAGGUCAACUGAUACUGUGCGACUAGAGUGCAGAAGGGGCAACUGGAAUUCUCGGUGUAGCGGUGAAAUGCGUAGAGAUGGGGGAGAACACUCGUGGCGAAGGCGGCCAGCUAGACCAGUUCUGACACUGAGGCGCGACAGCGUGGGGGAGCAAACAGG